UACAGGGGGUGCAAACGUUGCUCGGAAUCAUUGGGCGUAAAGCGCACGUAGGCGGUCUGUUAUGUCGGAUGUGAAAGCCCUUGGCUCAACUGAGGAAGUGCAUCCGAAACUGGCAGGCUAGAGUACUAAAGAGGGUCGCGGAAUUCCCGGUGUAGAGGUGAAAUUCGUAGAUAUCGGGGAGGAACACCGGUGGCGAAGGCGGCGACCUGGGUAGAUACUGACGCUGAGGUGCGAAAGCGUGGGGAGCAAACAGG
rnacentral:rRNA from 1 species